UACAGAGGUCUCGAGCGUUGUUCGGAUUCAUUGGGCGUAAAGGGUGCGCAGGCGGUGUGGCAAGUCUGGUGUGAAAGCUUGGGGCUCAACCCCAAAAUUGCAUUGGAUACUGCCAUGCUUGAGGACUGUAGAGGAGAGGGUAAUUCACGGUGUAGCAGUGAAAUGCGUAGAUAUCGUGAGGAAGACCAGUUGCGAAAGCGACUCUCUGGGCAGUUCCUGACGCUCAUGCACCAAGGCCGGGGGAGCAAACGGG
rnacentral:rRNA from 1 species